GCCUCUAUAGCUCAAUGGUUAGAGCGCCGUCCUCGUAAGACGGAGGUUCAGGGUUCAAAUCCCUGUAGAGGCU
rnacentral:tRNA from 1 species